UACGAAGGGGGCUAGCGUUGCUCGGAAUCACUGGGCGUAAAGGGUGCGUAGGCGGGUCUUUUAAGUCAGGGGUGAAAUCCUGGAGCUCAACUCCAGAACUGCCUUUGAUACUGAAGAUCUUGAGUUCGGGAGAGGUGAGUGGAACUGCGAGUGUAGAGGUGAAAUUCGUAGAUAUUCGCAAGAACACCAGUGGCGAAAGGCGGCUCACUGGCCC
rnacentral:rRNA from 1 species